AGAGUUUGAUUAUGGCUCAGAGCGAACGCUGGCGGCAGGCUUAACACAUGCAAGUCGAGCGGGCACUUUCGGGUGUCAGCGGCAGACGGGUGAGUAACACGUGGGAACGUACCCUUUGGUUCGGAAUAACGCUGGGAAACUAGCGCUAAUACCGGAUACGCCCUUUUGGGGAAAGGCUUGCUGCCGAAGGAUCGGCCCGCGUCUGGUUAGCUAGUUGGUGGGGUAAUGGCCUACCAAGGCGACGAUCAGUAGCUGGUCUGAGAGGAUGAUCAGCCACACUGGGACUGAGACACGGCCCAGACUCCUACGGGAGGCAGCAGUGGGGAAUAUUGGACAAUGGGCGCAAGCCUGAUCCAGCCAUGCCGCGUGAGUGAUGAAGGCCUUAGGGUUGUAAAGCUCUUUUGUCCGGGACGAUAAUGACGUUACCGGAAGAAUAAGCCCCGGCUAACUUCGUGCCAGCAGCCGCGGUAAU
rnacentral:rRNA from 1 species